AUACAAAAAUGACUCUCGGCAACGGAUAUCUCGGCUCUUGCAUCGAUGAAGAACGUAGCGAAAUGCGAUACUUGGUGUGAAUUGCAGAAUCCCGUGAACCAUCGAGUCUUUGAACGCAAGUUGCGCCCAAAGCCAUUAGGCUGAGGGCACGCCUGCCUGGGUGUCACAC
rnacentral:rRNA from 1 species